rnacentral:rRNA from 1 species
CCUACGGGUGGCAGCAGUGAGGAAUAUUGGUCAAUGGACGCAAGUCUGAACCAGCCAUGCCGCGUGCAGGAAGACGGCCCUAUGAGUUGUAAACUGCGUUUGUACGAGGGUAAACGCAGAUACGCGUAUCUGUCUGAAAGUAUCGUACGAAUAAGGAUCGGCUAACUCCGUGCCAGCAGCCGCGGUAAUACGGAGGAUUCAAGCGUUAUCCGGACUUAUUGGGUUUAAAGGGUGCGUAGGCGGUCGGAUAAGUUAGAGGUGAAAUCCCGAGGCUCAACUUCGGAAUUGCCUCUGAUACUGUUCGGCGAGAGAGUAGUUGCGGUAGGCGGAAUGUAUGGUGUAGCGGUGAAAUGCUUAGAGAUCAUACAGAACACCGAUUGCGAAGGCAGCUUACCAAGCUACUUCUGACGUUGAGGCACGAAAGCGUGGGGAGCAAACAGGAUUAGAUACCCGGGUAGUC